AUAAACUCAAAGUAUAUAAUCUUUUGUUAAUUUUUAUUGUCGUGAGCGAAUGUGAAAUGAAAAUACAUGAAGCUAGAAGGGAAGGUAGUGUGAAAGAGAAAAAAGAGUUAUAAAAAAAAUUAUUAUGGAUAAAAUUUUGAAUUUCACUCUUGAUAUUAUUUUCUAUUGAAAAAAUAAAAAUUGGCAUGCCUCGAGGAGGCAAGUGCUACAAAUUUUAGGAUGUGGAUGGCAGGAAUAAUAUACAAUUAAAUGUGAACUAAAAGGUUACUUUCAAAUGAUAAAAGUUUGACACUUAUUGCAAAGUAUAUAAUUUUUGUUCAUAUAUUUUGUUACUGUUAAGUACUAACUUGUAAGCAAAAAAAAAAAAA
rnacentral:misc_RNA from 1 species